rnacentral:misc_RNA from 1 species
AACGCACAUUGCGCCCGCCAGUAUUCUGGCGGGCAUGCCUGUUCGAGCGUCAUUUCAACCAUCAAGCCCCGGCGCUUGUGUUGGGGACCCGCGGCUGCCGCGGGCCCUUAAAGACAGUGGCGGUCUCGCUGCAGCACCGAGCGUAGUAAACAUACACAUCUCGCUCCGGGAGCUGCGCGUGCAACCCGCCGUAAAACCCCCCACCUCUCACAAGGUUGACCUCGGAUCAGGUAGGAAUACCCGCUGAACUUAA